UACGUAUGGUGCAAGCGUUAUCCGGAUUUACUGGGUGUAAAGCGAGCGCAUGUGGUUUAUUAAGUCUGGUGUAAAAGGCGGUGGCUCAACCAUUGUAUGCAUUGGAAACUGGUAGACUUGAGUGCAGGAGAGGAGAGUGGAAUUCCAUGUGUAGCGGUGAAAUGCGUAGAUAUAUGGAGGAACACCGGUGGCGAAAGCGGCUCUCUGGCCUGUAACUGACACUGAGGCUCGAAAGCGUGGGGAGCAAACAGG
rnacentral:rRNA from 1 species